rnacentral:tRNA from 1 species
CCAACUGUGGCUCAGUUGGUUGAGCAUGGUGUGUGCAACGCCAGGGUUGUGGGUUCGAUUCCCAUGGGUGGGC